rnacentral:lncRNA from 1 species
GUCACUUUCAUUUUACUUUGCCUUUGUCCGCCUUUAAGGCGGCCCUGCCCCCGUCCUUCAACCCGCUGCACUCGUUUACCCUUUUGCUUCUAAAAGCGCACUCAGUUGUGCGAGAAGCCGCACUCAAAUGAAGCGGGAUGGAGGAAAUGUUUCCUGGGAACAGCUUUGGGGUAGGUUGCCCGGAGAUCGCGCCAACUCAGUGGAACGCUCGGCUUCAACCUCUGCAGGUUAUAAGGAGUUUCUCCUUCCAGCAUUUCUUGUGCCUGAUCAAGGAAGCGCCUGCUGCCUUCUUCAGAGGACAUCAUCAAAGGCUGACCCAGCUGUUACAAAGGGGUUACUGUGUAAAUGGAUAUUCACCGAGCCGUUAGUGUUGGGGGGGUUGUGGUUGGUCUUCGUGUCAGAGGGAUCUGCUGACACAGAGGCACGUGCUGUCUGCAUCGGGAAGGAUCUCAUCAGCCAGGGUCACGCCAUUUCACCAGAAGGAGGUGGCCCACGUUGUAGCACAUGGGGCCUUGAAAGAAGCUGGCUGAAAAUGGCCAUUGUGUAUCCGCCCAUCUUCAGGGACCAAUAGACUGCAAGCCCACACGUGAGCAAGGAGCAGCUGACCCGGGUAGGAGCUGGAGAGAGGCCACCAGAUAGAGAAUCUCAGGCCUGCCUCAUGGUUCCGACAAGAACUGAGCCCAGUCCUCCGGGUCCCUCUGCUGGAGGGAAGAGGAAAGGCAGGAGGGGGCUGGGAGGAGGACACAGGAGAUAAACAAGCACAGGACAGAGCCACACCGCGCAGUGGAAUGUGAACUUUAGCCAGAGGAUUAUUAGUUGCUCAGAGACAAAGCAAAGCAAGGAACUGGAGACCUGGGAGGGAGAGGAAGGUCACUUCCACAUACAAACACGAUCUGAGCGCUGAAUCCAAACAGUAUUGGUUCAAAUAUUCAGAAAUAAAAAGCAUU